rnacentral:tRNA from 1 species
CGACGGCGGAGCAGCGGCUCGCGGCGGCCCGGCUGCGGGAGCCGGAGCCCUGGUUCUCCCAGGGCUUCCCGGCGUUCGAGGCCUGGCUGUCGG